GCGAAGGUGGCGGAAUUGGUAGACGCGCUAGCUUCAGGUGUUAGUGUUCUUACGGACGUAGGGGUUCAAGUCCCCCCCCUCGCACCA
rnacentral:tRNA from 3 species